AGGUGAAAAGCACCCCGGAAGGGGAGUGAAAUAGAACCUGAAACCGUGUGCUUACAAAUAGUCAGAGCCCGUUAAUGGGUGAUGGCGUGCCUUUUGUAGAAUGAACCGGCGAGUUACGAUUUGAUGCAAGGUUAAGCAGUAAAUGUGGAGCCGUAGCGAAAGCGAGUCUGAAUAGGGCGAAUGAGUAUCUGGUCGUAGACCCGAAACCAAGUGAUCUACCCAUGUCCAGGUUGAAGUUCAGGUAACACUGAAUGGAGGACCGAACCGACUUACGUUGAAAAGUGAGCGGAUGAGGUGUGGGUAGCGGAGAAAUUCCAAUCGAACUUGGAGAUAGCUGGUUCUCUCCGAAAUAGCUUUAGGGCUAGCCUCAAGUGAUGAUUAUUGGAGGUAGAGCACUGUUUGGACGAGGGGCCCCUCUCGGGUUACCGAAUUCAGACAAACUCCGAAUGCCAAAUAAUUUAACUUGGGAGUCAGACUAUGGGUGAUAAGGUCCGUAGUCGAAAGGGAAACAGCCCAGACCACCAGCUAAGGUCCCAAAAUAUAUGUUAAGUGGAAAAGGAUGUGGCGUUGCCCAGACAACUAGGAUGUUGGCUUAGAAGCAGCCAUCAUUUAAAGAGUGCGUAAUAGCUCACUAGUCGAGUGACACUGCGCCGAAAAUGUACCGGGGCUAAACAUAUUACCGAAGCUGUGGAUUAUCCGUAAGGAUAAUGGUAGGAGAGCGUUCUAAACGUGUCGAAGCAUGAUCGUAAGGACAUGUGGAAUGUUUAGAAGUGAGAAUGCCGGUGUGAGUAGCGAAAGAUGGGUGAGAAUCCCAUCCACCGAUUGACUAAGGUUUCCAGAGGAAGGCUCGUCCGCUCUGGGUUAGUCGGGACCUAAGCCGAGGCCGAUAGGCGUAGGCGAUGGAUAACAGGUAGAUAUUCCUGUACCACCUAUGAUUGUUUGAACGAUGGGGGGACGCAGUAGGAUAGGCGAAGCGUGCUGUUGGAGUGCACGUCCAAGCAAUAAGACUGAGUGUUAGGCAAAUCCGGCACUCGUAAGGUUGAGUUGUGAUGGGGAGUUGGAUCAUGUAUCCGACGAGUCGUUGAUUUCACACUGCCAAGAAAAGCCUCUAGUUAGAAAAUAGGUGCCCGUACCGCAAACCGACACAGGUAGUCAAGAUGAGAAUUCUAAGGUGAGCGAGCGAACUCUCGUUAAGGAACUCGGCAAAAUGACCCCGUAACUUCGGGAGAAGGGGUGCUUUUUAGGGUGCAAGCCUUGAAGAGCCGCAGUGAAUAGGCCCAAGCGACUGUUUAUCAAAAACACAGGUCUCUGCUAAACCGUAAGGUGAUGUAUAGGGGCUGACGCCUGCCCGGUGCUGGAAGGUUAAGAGGAGUGGUUAGCUUCUGCGAAGCUACGAAUC
rnacentral:rRNA from 1 species